GACGAACGCUGGCGGCGUGCUUAACACAUGCAAGUCGAACGGAAAGGCCCUGCUUUUGUGGGGUGCUCGAGUGGCGAACGGUUGAGUAACACUUGAUUAACCUUCCCUUGACUUUGGGAUAACUUCAGGAAACUGGGGCUAAUACCAGAUAGGAGCUCCUGCUGCUUGGUGGUGGUUGGAAAGUUUCGGCGGUUGGGGAUGGACUCGCGGCAUAUCAGCUUGUUGGUGGGGUAGUUGAUUACCAAGGCUUUGACGGGUAGCCGCACUGAGAGGGUGACGGGCCACAUUGGGACUGAGAGACGGGCCAGACUCCUACGGGAGGAAGCAGUGGGGGAUAGUGCAAGAUGGGCGGAAGCCUGAUGCAGCAACGCCGCGUGCGGGAUGACGGCCUUCGGGUUGUAAACCGCUUUCGCCUGUGAAGAAGAGAGAGUGACGGUAAUGGGUAAAGAAGCACCGGCUAACUACGUG
rnacentral:rRNA from 1 species